rnacentral:rRNA from 1 species
AUACGUAGGUGGCAAGCGUUGUCCGGAUUUACUGGGUGUAAAGGGCGUGCAGCCGGGGAAGCAAGUCAGGUGUGAAAUGCAGAGGCUUAACCUCUGAAUUGCAUUUGAAACUGUUUUUCUUGAGUACUGGAGGGGCAAUCGGAAUUCCUAGUGUAGCGGUGAAAUGCGUAGAUAUUGGGAAGAACACCAGUGGCGAAGGCGGCCUGCUGGACAUUAACUGACGCUGAGGAGCGAAAGUGUGGGGAGCAAACAGGAUUAGAUACCCUGGUAGUCCACACCGUAAACGAUGGAUACUAGGUGUGCGGGGACUGACCCCCUGCGUGCCGCAGUUAACACAAUAAGUAUCCCACCUGGGGAGUACGAUCGCAAGAUUGAAACUCAAAGGAAUUGACGGGG